UCGUAGUGUAGUGGUUAGCACACUCGGCUCAAAACCGAGAAGGCCUGGGUUCGAAUCCCGGGUGCAAAG